rnacentral:tRNA from 1 species
GUCAGGUUGGCCAAGCGUUCUAAGGCGCCAGACUCAAUGACUGAAUCCCUCCUGGUCAAAGGGAUGUCUGGUCUCCGAAUGGAGGUGUGGGUUCAAAUCCCACUUCUGACA